AUUGAACGCUGGCGGCAUGCCUUACACAUGCAAGUCGAACGGCAGCAUGGAGAGCUUGCUCUCUGAUGGCGAGUGGCGAACGGGUGAGUAAUGCAUCGGAACGUACCGUGUAAUGGGGGAUAACGUAGCGAAAGUUACGCUAAUACCGCAUACGACCUGAGGGUGAAAGCAGGGGAUCGCAAGACCUUGCGUUAUACGAGCGGCCGAUGUCAGAUUAGCUAGUUGGUGAGGUAAAGGCUCACCAAGGCGACGAUCUGUAGCGGGUCUGAGAGGAUGAUCCGCCACACCGGGACUGAGACACGGCCCAGGCUCCUCCGGGAGGCAGCAGUGGGGAAUUUUGGACAAUGGGGGCAACCCUGAUCCAGCCAUGCCGCGUGCGGGAUGAAGGCCCUCGGGUUGUAAACUGCUUUUGUACGGAACGAAAAGGCUCUGGUUAAUACCCGGGGCUCAUGACGGUACCGUAAGAAUAAGCACCGGCUAACUACGUGCCAGCCGCCGCCGUAA
rnacentral:rRNA from 1 species